rnacentral:lncRNA from 1 species
CGACCAUAGUUUCCUGUAUAAGGAUUAUUUUAGCAGCAUAGUCAAGUCAUAUCAAUAGCCCUCAUUUUUUUUUCCCUCAUUUGGGGAUUGAUAUAUAGGUAAGUGGGUUUUUAGUUUGGGAUUUCCAUGUGAUGAUUUUCAUUAUUUUCUUGUUCCUUAAGAAAAAUUUAAUCUUGAAUAUGGUUCUUAUUUGGUGUUUUUUUAUGGUCAAGAUUCCCUUUUUUCCCCCCAUGUUACACUUCAUAGAUUUUGAAUUUUUAAGAAGAGGUAGACGUUGAUUUCGAGAAGACAGUGACGUUGGGCUUCCAAACUAUAUAGAUUAAUUAUGUUGUUUUCCUUAGGUGAGAUUAUUGCUAACCCCUCUAUUAUUGAGAGAUUUUGCCACUUCAGCUUAAAUAUCUUUGUUCGAUAGGUGUUGGCAAGAAUUUCUGGUUAUAAAUAUGUUGUUGGUGUAUUCUUUUUUCAAGUUUCCUCAAGGUUUUUGUUGAAUUAUGAGGUAAGGCUGAAUUUUGGUUGUGGUAUAAAUUCCUUGCCACGUUCAUGGGAUCCUUGAAGUAUGCUACAUGGGUUAUGUCAAUAUAGAUGACUAAUAUGAUUUAUGAGUUCAGAUAUAUGCCCUUUUGAAGUAAUGACUUGUUAUAACAUGGAAUAUAAGUGGACGGACUAGCAAAAAGAAAAUGACAAGGGAAGAAUAGUUUGUUUUCAUAUAAGAGAUUUGAUGCACAAUUUGAGAAUAAAAUAAUUGUCAAUACUUAUUUGGAAUGGUUUAAAAAUCAAAUAAGAUACUCCACCUGUAUGAAUACUGUUUUGGAUAGAAGCCUGUAGAGUUUGACAUUGCGGUUAGAGGUAAUGUUAUUUUUAUCUUUUGUUAGAAUUUCCCGAUUACCACUUUAUGGGUUCAAAAUUAGAAGGCUUUCCUUGAGUAAAAAUGAAGGUGUUUCAGUUGAUGGCAAUUCUGGAAGGAAUAAGGAGAAAUCAUUGUUGGACCUGCUUUGGUUAUUGAAGCUUGGCUUUUGGUUGCCAUUUUUGUAUGUGUAUUUAUUAUUUAUCACCUUCUCCAACAAAGCCAUAAUUCUUACUAUCAGUGCUUGAUUUUAUAUUGAUCUUUAUAUACAUAGAUUUUUUUAUUUUUGUUUGUGUAGAAAUUCAUUCGCCAAGAUAGUCAAUUCUUGAACUGGAAUGGUAGAUCGAUAAGUAGAAAUUCUGGGUAUCCAAAUUGAGAUUUUUGGUGAAAAUCUUGGUUCUUAUAGGAAUCAAAUUUUGAUUAUGUUUUUCUUGGUGGGUUUGUGGUUUAUGAUGAUCAAGAUUAUUGAGAUUUUUAUUGUAUUUUAUUUUAUUUUAUUUUAUUUUACAGGUUUUGGAUUUUCAAUUUUGGGAAGUUGAUAGUAGAUGUUGAAUUGGAUAGGUGGAACAUCUAAAUUAUAUGGAUAAUUUAUGAUGUUAUCAGGUUAGGAUUUGCUUUCUGUUAUUUUAACAUAAUUAAUGUAUAGAUUGUAUUAUUUCUGGAAUUUGACUAUUGAGACAUUUUUCAUAGUUUCUCAUCAAUUCUUUCAGGCUAAAAUUGUUGUUUAAAUGAUUAUUUAUGAUAUUAAAUAGUAAAACCCAUUAUUAAUUUAUGGUCUCUCAUUUGGUUCCUUCUGGUUUUCUGUUAUUUUACAUUAGUUGAUCUAAACUUAUGUCCAUAAAAUAAAUUAGCAACGUGGUGAUGAGAUACAUCUAACCACAUUUAGGGAAAGAAGGCUACCAUGCUUGAGAUAAUCUUUAAUAAAAAAGAUUUGAUAAGAAAUGGAACAUUUAAAGCUUUUGAAAUCCAUAAAUGAAGCAUAUGAAAGCAAUGGAAUUGCAGUGGGAGUUGAAGAAAGAAAAUUUAUAAUUGAAUCAUCAUAGGCAAAUAAAAAAUAAGAUUUUGAGCAUUCUUACUAUACUAACAAAUCCCAUGCACAAGAAAUAGAUUUAACACUAUGGUCAAGUAAUUAAGUAUGCACUAAGUUUAGAUUAAAAUAUUAGAAGUGUUCUGUUAGAAGAUGACUUUUGAAAUAAUUGUAAAUAUGAACAAAAAUUCAGUUGAAUAAAUGAGUCAUGAGAAAUAGUUUGAAGAUCAAUUUCAUUCUCGUGACAAGCAUAUGAUGCAUCAUAAGAAAUUUUUGAAAGGUAUGUUGACAACUGUAAAAUCAAGUUAUGAAAAUGUCCACCAUCUUCUAUAUAUCGAUCUGAUUGUCAAUUUAUCAAAAAAAUAUCAAAGAUCUAGAUAUGGCUUGUUUAUAUAGGGCCUCGAAAGGCGAAUUAUGAAACAACCUAAUUGACUAGGAGUACCUAAUUAGGAACUAACUUUACCAGUUUAUAUAAUCCGUCCCUUAUGUGAUUGCUUCUCAUUCCCUGUCAAGUUAUUUGAUAAAUAAGGACAUUUAAAUUAAGAUUGUUUAGAUAUCAUAUUACAAAAUAUUUUAGGGGGUUUAAUUGAAAUUUUUUAACAAAGACAUUUAUGGAAGUUCAAUUGAGAAACUAACUUUCUGGUCUUUGUAUGUCUAUAUAUCAUUCAGGGGAUUUAAUUAACAUACCAACUUUCUCACCCUUGUUAUUUAGUUUUUAUAAACUUCUUCAAUAAUAUCUUAAAUCCGUAAUGUUAUUUUUUUUCUUCUUUUUUAUGUUUUUAUUUUGAUUCUUUUUUUAUUCAACAUUAUAGAUUUCCAUCAGCUCCUGUAUUUCGGAUUCAGCAAUACUUCUUCAUCACUUUCCUAUUUUAGGUGGUCUGGAUUUUGUAAGUAUAUAUUAAAACAUAAAAUUUACUCGCCAAAUUGUUGUUGAACUAGGAAGCACUUAGAUUUAUGUGAUCCCUGGUAAUGAAUUUUAGUUAUGCGGUCUUACAAUUUCCUAUCUAUUUUUGGGAAAGCAAGUUUUCAGUAAGAUCAAGUUGGAAUAUCAUUCUUUUGCAAGUUUUGGUGUUAGAUUGUGAAUUUAGCUUGAAUUGUUUAAGUUAUUAUCAUUUGCAUUGAAAUGUUGUUUAUCUCUUUAAUUCUUGAGAAUUUCUAUUCGAAUUAUUUCGUUUCAUUUGCUGGGUCUUAUACUGUGGACUCUCUAUGUAUUCAAUCAUUCUAGCACUUUUGAGCGGUCAAGCAUAAAUCUAUAUACUGAGGAUUCUCUUUCUGAAUGCACAACUCCUUUUGUUAACCUAAGAUGGUGAAGUAAUUUUGAUAUAUUCCUCCACAUUCCAUUUUUGGGUGUUAAACGAGUACUCAUCUCUGUUACAAUAAAUUCAAGUAUCUUGAUGUUGCUGGCCAGAAGAAUUCCUAACUUUACAUCUUCAAUGGUGUGGCUUAGUUCUUUGGGUUGUUGGUAUGGUCUAUAUAUUUCAUUCAACUUCAAAACUUUGCAUUUUACUCUAAAAUGUUUAGUAUUCUGCUCGUUCAUAUACUCAACAUAUAUUGCAGGGAAAUGGAAACUCAAUUUAUUGAUCAGUUGACCAUGUGUGGAUGAGUUUCUAAAAUCUGAGAUUGUUAUACACCGCCACAAAAUCUGUCUAUUGUUAUUUUUUAGCAUCUCUAUGAUUAUUUGAAAUAUUAGAGUUUUAUAAAUGAAAGACAUUUGCCUCUUUAGUUCCUUGAGAAUAAAGGGCGUUGGGAGUAGCCAUGGAAUUUAAGGAUUUCACUAGGGAAAUAGUUUGUGUAUAUAACGUUUUCAUCAGUAUAAAGUUUUUGAUGGGCCAACCAGUGCGUCAGAUUAAGAUAUUGCAAUGAAUGAUGUCAGCAGAAGUCCAGCAAAGACCUUAACCAGUGCUAAAGGUCCAAGCUUCACUGAGGGGAUUUCUAAGUCAUCAUAUGCCAAGUAAGCAUCAGAUUUGAAAAGCUCUUCUGUAAAGGUGAAUUUUUUUUUUGCUCAUUGAUAGGGGGUCCAAAUAUGAAAAGAUUUGUAUUCUAUUUAGAUUUUUUCUUUGUUAUCCCCAUCUCUCUACGUGUUCCAUUUGGAUAGUUUCUGCCUAUAAAUUUAUUUAACUUGUCUUUUCGUUUGCAGCUAAACCUCUUUCAACAUAGGAAAUCGUUGUCUUACAUUGUAAUUUGGCAUGUGUUUUCAUCUAUAAGGUAGAGAUUGGCCAUUGACUAUUUUUACAAUUGUCUUUGGCUUUCAUGAAUUUUGUGGACAUUUGUAACGAAUUAUGUAACUAUCACGACAAACAAUUCAUUGUUGUAUGAAUUUUAUAUUCUCCUUAGUUCACAUGUAAAA